AUAUCUCUGAUUGUAUUCGUCUGAAAGAAGAUAGUCAUAUACACCUAGGAUGGCUUGAGGCGAGCAGCUAUGCUCUCAAAAGAGGAAAUGAAAAAGAUCAAUGUUGGAGAGUUUAAUGAGGAUAUAAGAUGUCUCUGGAGGCAGUUUUUCUCCCUAUGAAUUUUAAGACCGUUCCAGGCCCAGUCCAAUGUCAGGCAGAUUUGCAUUUGAUUUAUAGUCACUGUCACUGAGAUUUUGACAGAUGAGUAAAACCAAAAUAUUCCCAUCUUUUGCUCUAUUCACCCGGGAACAUAAACACAACCAUAAAUUUUUAGCUUGCCCUUGCUUUUAUUAAUAAGUUUCAGAGGAUAAACCACAGGACAGUAUUACAUUUGAAAGAAGCAUUAUUGCACUGCUGAUGAUGAAUCUUCCCUUAUGGCACACUUUGAGACAGGAAUAAAUUACACACUUCAGUAUUAAACAGAAAUAAAAAAAAUAAAAAAAAAAUCUUUGUGUUAAAUUACAUGUACUACAUGCUGAGAGACUGAACUUAGUUCUGAACCAUGUGCACCUUUCUUUUUUUUAUUUAUUUAUUUAUUUUUUAUGGACCUGUGGACAUAUAAAUAAGAAUGAAGAAAUCACUCACCACAUCCAGUGCUCUCCAAGAACAGCUUGAGAAAGCAAUAAACUUCAACAUCAAUA